ACUCAAAGGAAUUGACGGGGGCCCGCACAAGCGGUGGAGCAUGUGGUUCAAUUCGACGCAACGCGAAGAACCUUACCGGGGCUUGAACUGUAACUGCUACUUCUGGAAACAGGGGGUUCUCUUCGGAGACGGUUAUAGAGGUGCUGCAUGGCUGUCGUCAGCUCGUGUCGUGAGAUGUUGGGUUAAGUCCCGCAACGAGCGCAACCCUUGCCCUUAGUUGCCAUCAGGUAAAGCUGGGCACCCUAAGGGAACUGUCGGCGAAAAGCCGGAGGAAGGUGGGGAUGACGUCAAGUCCUCAUGGCCCUUACGUCCCGGGCUACACACGUGCUACAAUGGCUGGUACAAAGAGUCGCCAACCCGCGAGGGGGAGCUAAUCUCAAAAAACCAGUCCCAGUUCGGAUUGCAGUCUGCAACUCGACUGCAUGAAGGUGGAAUCGCUAGUAAUCGCAGAUCAGCACGCUGCGGUGAAUACGUUCCCGGGCCUUGCACACACCGCCCGU
rnacentral:rRNA from 1 species